CACGGGGGGAGCAAGCGUUGUUCGGAAUUACUGGGCGUAAAGAGCUCGUAGGUGGUUUGUCGCGUUGUCCGUGAAAACUCACAGCUCAACUGUGGGCGUGCGGGCGAUACGGGCAGACUGGAGUACUGCAGGGGAGACUGGAAUUCCUGGUGUAGCGGUGGAAUGCGCAGAUAUCAGGAGGAACACCGGUGGCGAAGGCGGGUCUCUGGGCAGUAACUGACGCUGAGGAGCGAAAGCGUGGGGAGCGAACAGG
rnacentral:rRNA from 1 species